AGUGCAAUUGCUGGGUUGAAUAGUAGGUGUAGGUCUAUCUUUUAAGAAACUGCCAAACUCUUUUCCAGAGUGGCUGUAUUAUCUUACAUUCUCACUGGCAAU
rnacentral:pre_miRNA from 1 species